UAGCCAUAUCACAUUGAAACACUGGUUCUCACAUGAUCGACAAAGUUAAGCAAUGUUGUGCCUGGUCAGUACCUAGAUGGGUGACUGUUUAGGAAUACCAGAUACUGUA